rnacentral:rRNA from 1 species
GGGUUGUGAGGUUAAGCGACUAAGCGUACACGGUGGAUGCCCUGGCAGUCAGAGGCGAUGAAGGACGUGCUAAUCUGCGAUAAGCGUCGGUAAGGUGAUAUGAACCGUUAUAACCGGCGAUUUCCGAAUGGGGAAACCCAGUGUGAUUCGUCACACUAUCAUUAACUGAAUCCAUAGGUUAAUGAGGCGAACCGGGGGAACUGAAACAUCUAAGUACCCCGAGGAAAAGAAAUCAACCGAGAUUCCCCCAGUAGCGGCGAGCGAACGGGGAGCAGCCCAGAGCCUGAAUCAGUGUGUGUGUUAGUGGAAGCGUCUGGAAAGGCGCGCGAUACAGGGUGACAGCCCCGUACACAAAAAUGCACAUACUGUGAGCUCGAUGAGUAGGGCGGGACACGUGGUAUCCUGUCUGAAUAUGGGGGGACCAUCCUCCAAGGCUAAAUACUCCUGACUGACCGAUAGUGAACCAGUACCGUGAGGGAAAGGCGAAAAGAACCCCGGCGAGGGGAGUGAAAAAGAACCUGAAACCGUGUACGUACAAGCAGUGGGAGCCUCUUAAUGGGGUGACUGCGUACCUUUUGUAUAAUGGGUCAGCGACUUAUAUUCUGUAGCAAGGUUAACCGAAUAGGGGAGCCGAAGGGAAACCGAGUCUUAACUGGGCGUUAAGUUGCAGGGUAUAGACCCGAAACCCGGUGAUCUAGCCAUGGGCAGGUUGAAGGUUGGGUAACACUAACUGGAGGACCGAACCGACUAAUGUUGAAAAAUUAGCGGAUGACUUGUGGCUGGGGGUGAAAGGCCAAUCAAACCGGGAGAUAGCUGGUUCUCCCCGAAAGCUAUUUAGGUAGCGCCUCGUGAAUUCAUCUCCGGGGGUAGAGCACUGUUUCGGCAAGGGGGUCAUCCCGACUUACCAACCCGAUGCAAACUGCGAAUACCGGAGAAUGUUAUCACGGGAGACACACGGCGGGUGCUAACGUCCGUCGUGAAGAGGGAAACAACCCAGACCGCCAGCUAAGGUCCCAAAGUCAUGGUUAAGUGGGAAACGAUGUGGGAAGGCCCAGACAGCCAGGAUGUUGGCUUAGAAGCAGCCAUCAUUUAAAGAAAGCGUAAUAGCUCACUGGUCGAGUCGGCCUGCGCGGAAGAUGUAACGGGGCUAAACCAUGCACCGAAGCUGCGGCAGCGAC